rnacentral:rRNA from 1 species
AUUGAACGCUGGCGGCAGGCUUAACACAUGCAAGUCGAGCGGUAACAGGAGAAGCUUGCUUCUCGCUGACGAGCGGCGGACGGGUGAGUAAUACUUAGGAAUCUGCCCAGUAGUGGGGGAUAGCUCGGGGAAACUCGAAUUAAUACCGCAUACACCCUACGGGGAAAAGGGGGCACUUGUGCUCUCGCUAUUGGAUGAGCCUAAGUCGGAUUAGCUAGUUGGUGGGGUAAAGGCCUACCAAGGCGACGAUCUGUAGCUGGUCUGAGAGGAUGAUCAGCCACACCGGGACUGAGACACGGCCCGGACUCCUACGGGAGGCAGCAGUGGGGAAUAUUGGACAAUGGGGGCAACCCUGAUCCAGCCAUGCCGCGUGUGUGAAGAAGGCCUUUUGGUUGUAAAGCACUUUAAGCAGUGAAGAAGACUCUAUGGUUAAUACCCAUAGACGAUGACAUUAGCUGCAGAAUAAGCACCGGCUAACUCUGUGCCAGCAGCCGCGGUAAUACAGAGGGUGCAAGCGUUAAUCGGAAUUACUGGGCGUAAAGCGAGCGUAGGUGGCUUGAUAAGUCAGAUGUGAAAUCCCCGGGCUUAACCUGGGAACUGCAUCUGAUACUGUUAGGCUAGAGUAGGUGAGAGGGAGGUAGAAUUUCAGGUGUAGCGGUGAAAUGCGUAGAGAUCUGAAGGAAUACCGAUGGCGAAGGCAGCCUCCUGGCAUCAUACUGACACUGAGGUUCGAAAGCGUGGGUAGCAAACAGGAUUAGAUACCCUGGUAGUCCACGCCGUAAACGAUGUCUACUAGUCGUUGGGGAACUUGAUUCCUUAGUGACGCAGCUAACGCAAUAAGUAGACCGCCUGGGGAGUACGGCCGCAAGGUUAAAACUCAAAUGAAUUGACGGGGGCCCGCACAAGCGGUGGAGCAUGUGGUUUAAUUCGAUGCAACGCGAAGAACCUUACCUGGUCUUGACAUAUCUAGAAUCCUGCAGAGAUGCGGGAGUGCCUUCGGGAAUUAGAAUACAGGUGCUGCAUGGCUGUCGUCAGCUCGUGUCGUGAGAUGUUGGGUUAAGUCCCGCAACGAGCGCAACCCUUUUCCUUAGUUACCAGCGGUUUGGCCGGGGACUCUAAGGAUACUGCCAGUGACAAACUGGAGGAAGGCGGGGACGACGUCAAGUCAUCAUGGCCCUUACGACCAGGGCUACACACGUGCUACAAUGGUAGGUACAGAGGGCAGCUACACAGCGAUGUGAUGCGAAUCUCAAAAAGCCUAUCGUAGUCCAGAUUGGAGUCUGCAACUCGACUCCAUGAAGUCGGAAUCGCUAGUAAUCGCGGAUCAGAAUGCCGCGGUGAAUACGUUCCCGGGCCUUGUACACACCGCCCGUCACACCAUGGGAGUUGAUUGCACCAGAAGUGGGUAGCCUAACUUUUAGAGGGCGCUCACCACGGUGUGGUCGAUGACUGGGGUG